rnacentral:rRNA from 1 species
GUAAUCGCGGAUCAGAAUGCCGCGGUGAAUACGUUCCCGGGUCUUGUACACACCGCCCGUCACACCAUGAGAGUUUGUAACACCCAAGCCGGUGGGGUAACCUUUUGGAGCCAGCCGUCUAAGGUGGGACAGAUGAUUGGGGUGAAGUCGUAACAAGGUACC